rnacentral:lncRNA from 1 species
GACAACACCCGAGGUAAGUUCUUGAGUAAGAGAGCUUAAAUUUCGAUGUGAUUAAAUCAUGCUCUAUGUGUGGCUAUUAAGCCGAAUGUGCAAGGACAAUAUGUGCCUUAUGUUUGAGUUUCGUAAACGAAAAUGAAAUAUGAAUGUACCAUGAAUUAUUGUUAGAUGUGCAUGAUUAAUUGAAUGCUGUCCGGGCUAAGUCCCGAAGGCUUUGUGCUAAGCGAAUAUAUCCGGACUAAGAUCCGAAGGCCUUUGUGCGAGAUACUAAAUCCGGGUUAAGUCCCGAGGGCAUUCGUGCGAGUUAUUAAAGCCGGGUUAAGUCCCGAAGGCAUUCGUGCGAGUUGUUAAAUCCGGGUUACAUCCCGAAGGCAUGGUGUGAGUUACUAAAACCGGGCUAUGUCCCGAAGGCAUUUGAACGAGGAGCUAUAUCCGGUUAAAUCCCGAAGGUACGUGAUUUGGUAAUGAAUGAGCUUGCUGUAAAAUUCCAGCGAAUACUCGAAAAACAUCCCAAUAUGGGGAUAUGUUACGUAUGUGUUGAAUUAAAUCGAGCCCUUACAAAUAAAUGUUCGCUCAGUUGAUAAACGAGCUAUCGGCCUUCGGCUAAGUUAGUCUAUUGUGUAUGUGCAUAAGGGUUGUUAAUGUUGUGAAGCAAGUUUAAUAUCGAUAAAUUGCGUAUUAUGAAAUAUUCCGUUUAGCUAAAUGUGUGAUAUUCUUUGUUUAUGCUGGAAUUCCUUGCUCAAACUUACUAAGCAUAAAUUGCUUACUCGUUACAUUGCUCCUCUGUUUUAUAGAUUUUUGGUUCUCCAGCUAUCGGACUCGGGAUCUUGAAGUCGAAGUCGCCCACACUAUCAAAGGCUCUUUUGGGUACUAUUUUGGUUGAAUUUUGUUAUGGCAUGUAUAGGACUACCCAUUGUUGUCUUUCGAGUACUUUAUGAAAUGUAUAAGUGUACAGCCAUGCGAAAAUGGCUUGUAGAAGUGGAGUAUGGCAUUAGACCAUUCGUAUUUAUGAAUGUAUAGAUGGUUUCAUGAUGUAACUAUGUUGGAAUGGAAGUGUUGAGCAAAUGAUCAGCCACUAGAAUGGCUAAGUAUGAUCAUAUGUGGGCUUAUGUAUGACAAGGCCCUAGUUGGUCCAUGAAACCCCAAAUUAGG